rnacentral:rRNA from 1 species
UUGUCUCAAAGAUUAAGCCAUGCAUGUCUCAGUACAAGCCGAAUUAAGGUGAAACCGCGAAAGGCUCAUUAAAUCAGUUAUGGUUCCUUAGAUCGUACCCACUUACUUGGAUAACUGUGGUAAUUCUAGAGCUAAUACAUGCAAACAGAGCUCCGACCGGAGACGGAAGGAGCGCUUUUAUUAGAUCAAAACCAAUCGGCGGCGGGUUCGCCCGUAGUCGUACAACCUGGUGACUCUGAAUAACUUUAAGCUGAUCGCACGGUCUCGCACCGGCGACGCAUCUUUCAAAUGUCUGCCUUAUCAACUGUCGAUGGUAGGUUCUGCGCCUACCAUGGUUGUAACGGGUAACGGGGAAUCAGGGUUCGAUUCCGGAGAGGGAGCCUGAGAAACGGCUACCACAUCCAAGGAAGGCAGCAGGCGCGCAAAUUACCCACUCCCGGCACGGGGAGGUAGUGACGAAAAAUAACGAUACGGGACUCAUCCGAGGCCCCGUAAUCGGAAUGAGUACACUCUAAACCCUUUAACGAGGAUCAAUUGGAGGGCAAGUCUGGUGCCAGCAGCCGCGGUAAUUCCAGCUCCAAUAGCGUAUAUUAAAGUUGUUGCGGUUAAAAAGCUNGUAGUCGAAUUUGUGUCCCGCGCCGCCGGUUCAUCGUCCGCGGUGUUAACUGGCGUGUCGCGGGACGUCCUGCCGGUGGGNUUAGCUCUACGGGGCGGCCCAACUCAAUCCCGCCGCGGUGCUNUUCACUGAGNGUCGAGGUGGGCCGGCACGUUUACUUUGAACAAAUUAGAGUGCUUAAAGCAGGCUAAAACUUCGCCUGAAUACUGUGUGCAUGGAAUAAUGGAAUAGGACCUCGGUUCUAUUUUGUUGGUUUUCGGAACCCCGAGGUAAUGAUUAAUAGGAACGGAUGGGGGCAUUNGUAUUGCGACGUUAGAGGUGAAAUUCUUGGACCGUCGCAAGACGAACAGAAGCGAAAGCAUUUGCCAAAAACGCUUUCAUUGAUCAAGAACGAAAGUUAGAGGUUCGAAGGCGAUCAGAUACCGCCCUAGUUCUAACCAUAAACGAUGCCAGCUAGCGAUCCGCCGACGUUCCAUUAUAUGACUCGGCGGGCAGCUUCCGGGAAACCAAAGCUUUUGGGUUCCGGGGGAAGUAUGGUUGCAAAGCUGAAACUUAAAGGAAUUGACGGAAGGGCACCACCAGGAGUGGAGCCUGCGGCUUAAUUUGACUCAACACGGGAAACCUCACCAGGCCCGGACACCGGAAGGAUUGACAGAUUGAGAGCUCUUUCUUGAUUCGGUGGGUGGUGGUGCAUGGCCGUUCUUAG